UGACCGCUGGCGGCGUGCUUACCACAUGCAAGUCGAACGGAAAGGCCCAAGCUUGCUUGGGUACUCGAGUGGCGAACGGGUGAGUAACACGUGGGUGAUCUGCCCUGCACUUCGGGAUAAGCCUGGGAAACUGGGUCUAAUACUGGAUAGGACCACUUCUUGGAUGGUGUGGUGGAAAGUUUUUUCGGUGUGGGAUGAGCUCGCGGCCUAUCAGCUUGUUGGUGGGGUAAUGGCCUACCAAGGCGUCGACGGGUAGCCGGCCUGAGAGGGUGUACGGCCACAUUGGGACUGAGAUACGGCCCAGACUCCUACGGGAGGCAGCAGUGGGGAAUAUUGCACAAUGGGCGCAAGCCUGAUGCAGCGACGCCGCGUGGGGGAUGACGGCCUUCGGGUUGUAAACUCCUUUCGCUAGGGACGAAGCGUUUUUGUGACGGUACCUGGAGAAGAAGCACCGGCUAACUACGUG
rnacentral:rRNA from 1 species